rnacentral:rRNA from 1 species
AAUGAACGCUGGCGGCAGGCCUAACACAUGCAAGUCGAGCGAGCGGCGGGCGGGGGAGUAAUGUAUGGGGACUGCCCGAUAGAGGGGGAUCACUACUGGAAACGGUAGCUAAUACCGCAUACUAUCGGAUAACCCAUAUGGGAUUAGCUAGUAGGUGAGGUAAUGGCUCACCUAGGCGAUGAUCCCUAGCUGGGCUGAGAGGAUGAUCAGCCACACUGGGCCUGCGACACGGCCCAGACUCCUACGGAGGCAGCAGUGGGUAAUCAUGCACGAUGGGCGCAAGCCUGAUGGAGCCAUGCCGGGUGAAUGAAGAAGGGCCUAGGGUUGUAGAGUACUUGCAGUCGGGAGGCGUUACCGACAGAAGAAGCGCCGGCUAACUCCGUGCCAGCAGCCGCGGUAAUUC